GAUGAACGCUGGCGGCGUGCUUAACACAUGCAAGUCGAACGGGAAUUAUCUUAUUGAAACUUCGGUCGAUUUAAUUUAAUUCUAGUGGCGGACGGGUGAGUAACGCGUGGGUAACCUGCCUUAUACUGGGGGAUAACAGCCGGAAACGGCUGCUAAUACCGCAUAAGCGCACGGGGGCGCAUGUUCCUGUGUGAAAAACUCCGGUGGUAUAAGAUGGACCCGCGUUGGAUUAGCUAGUUGGCAGGGGCAGCGGCCUACCCAAGGCGACGAUCUAUAGCCGGCCUGAGAGGGUGAACGGCCACAUUGGGACUGAGACACGGGCCCAGACUCCUACGGGAGGCAGCAGUGGGGAAUAUUGCACAAUGGGGGAAACCCUGAUGCAGCGACGCCGCGUGAAGGAAG
rnacentral:rRNA from 1 species